rnacentral:rRNA from 1 species
GUAUCCGGUCUAAGAGGACGGUCGGACACACUGACACUGAAUAACGGGUCAGACUCCUACGGGAGGCAGCAGUCGGGAAUUUUGGGCAAUGGGCGAAAGCCUGACCCAGCAACGCCGCGUGAAGGAUGAAGUUUCUCGGAAUGUAAACUUCGUAAGAAUGGGAAGAAUAAAUGACGGUACCAUUUGUAAGGUCCGGCUAACUACGUGCCAGCAGCCGCGGUAA